UACGAAGGGUGCAAACGUUGCUCGGAAUUAUUGGGCGUAAAGCGCACGUAGGCGGUUUGGAAAGUCGGAUGUGAAAUCCCUCAGCUCAACUGAGGAAGUGCAUCCGAAACCUCCAGACUUGAGUACUUAAGAGGAUCGCGGAAUUCCCGGUGUAGAGGUGAAAUUCGUAGAUAUCAGGAAGAACACCCGUGGCUAAGGCGGUUCUCUAGUACGGUACUGACGCUGAGACGCGAAAGCGUGGGGAGCGAACAGG
rnacentral:rRNA from 1 species